rnacentral:lncRNA from 1 species
GUAUGGGUUGUGGUCUUGGUAUCGGGUUCGGGUAUGGACAAGGAAUUGGUGUUGGGUUUUCCUGGGACGAAUUUAAGUCCAGAUUUUUUGAACCCAAAAGCAGUUCCAGAAACCCCUUUGUAAUUCAAAUCUGAACUCUUUUUGGAUAUUAAUUCACCUGUGUCUGCGCAAUUUUCUAUUUCCAUAAGCUUCUUCUUUGCAAUUUUGUUGGGUAAAAGAGAAUUUUGUUAUAAUCUCACUUUGUGCUUACAAGCUUCACAAAAAUGUUCUCUAAACUGAUGUUACAUGUAACACU